GACGUAGGGCGCGAGCGUUGUCCGGAUUUAUUGGGCGUAAAGAGCUCGUAGGCGGCUUGUCGCGUCGACUGUGAAAACCCGCGGCUCAACUGUGGGCUUGCAGUCGAUACGGGCAGGCUGGAGUUCGGUAGGGGAGACUGGAAUUCCUGGUGUAGCGGUGAAAUGCGUAGAUAUCUGGAGGAAUACCGGUGGCGAAGGCGGCAUCCUGGACCGACAUUGACGCUGAUGAGCGAAAGCUAGGGGAGCAAACGGG
rnacentral:rRNA from 1 species